rnacentral:rRNA from 1 species
UGGGGAAUAUUGGACAAUGGGGGCAACCCUGAUCCAGCAACGCCGCGUGAAUGAAGAAGGCCUUAGGGUUGUAAAGUUCUUUUGUCCGAGAGCAGAUGCUAGUGGGUAAUAUACACUGGUUGAGAGAGUAUCGGAAGAAUAAGCACCGGCUAACUACGUGCCAGCAGCCGCGGUAAUACGUAGGGUGCGAGCGUUAAUCGGAAUAACUGGGCGUAAAGAGUGCGUAGGCGGAUGUAAAAGUUAGAUGUGAAAUACCUGGGCUUAACCUGGGAGGUGCAUUUAAUACUGUAUAUCUAGAGUUAGUAAGAGGAUGGGAGAAUUCCGAGUGUAGCAGUGAAAUGCGUAGAGAUUCGGAGGAAUACCGGUGGCGAAGGCGCCCAUCUGGGAUAUAACUGACGCU